rnacentral:rRNA from 1 species
AUUGAACGCUGGCGGCAUGCCUUACACAUGCAAGUCGAACGGUAACGCGGGGGCAACCCUGGCGACGAGUGGCGAACGGGUGAGUAAUACAUCGGAACGUACCCAGUAGUGGGGGAUAGCUCGGCGAAAGCCGGAUUAAUACCGCAUACGACCUAUGGGUGAAAGCGGGGGAUCGCAAGACCUCGCGCUAUUGGAGCGGCCGAUGUCGGAUUAGCUAGUUGGUGAGGUAAAGGCUCACCAAGGCUACGAUCCGUAGCUGGUCUGAGAGGACGACCAGCCACACUGGGACUGAGACACGGCCCAGA